rnacentral:rRNA from 1 species
GAUGAACGCUGGCGGCGUGCCUAAUACAUGCAAGUCGAGCGAACAGACGAGGAGCUUGCUCCUCUGACGUUAGCGGCGGACGGGUGAGUAACACGUGGAUAACCUACCUAUGAGACUGGGAUAACUUCGGGAAACCGGAUCUAAUACCGGAUAAUAUAUUGAACCGCAUGGUUCAAUAGUGAAAGACGGUUUUGCUGUCACUUAUAGAUGGAUCCGCGCCGCAUUAGCUAGUUGGUAAGGUAACGGCUUACCAAGGCGACGAUGCGUAGCCGACCUGAGAGGGUGAUCGGCCACACUGGAACUGAGACACGGUCCAGACUCCUACGGGAGGCAGCAGUAGGGAAUCUUCCGCAAUGGGCGAAAGCCUGACGGAGCAACGCCGCGUGAGUGAUGAAGGUCUUCGGAUCGUAAAACUCUGUUAUUAGGGAAGAAAAAAUGUGUAAGUAACUAUGCACGUCUUGACGGUACCUAAUCAGAAAGCCCCGGCUAACUACGUG